AGGGCAGCGCCUCUCGGAAGGGCUCGGUUCUCCCUCAGCACUCGGUCCCAAAUCGAGGAGGGAGUUCAGGGAGCUCCAUACGCCUGUUUUACCUUGAAAUGAUCCACAGGCAAGUGGGGUCUUCAGCAGCCAGGGUACAUUCCCACAACACCUAAAUAGGGUGAGGCUGGUAACAACAACAGUUGCCAAAGAGACCUAGAUAAGAACUUUAAAAGAAAUGGGAUCCAGGAAAAAAAAAUUACUAAAACUCAUGCAGUUAAAAGGCAGAAAUAAGUUCCAAAAGUAACAUGUACGAAGGUAAUGUGCUUUAAGUUAAAUAGCUGCCAUCCAGUGCAAUUCAUCCUGCUGCACAAAGGACAGGCGCACAGGCAGUCCCUGCCUGCCACGUAUACAGGGAGCAGCCUGCAGAAGGAAAACUCUGACACACAGAGCUUAAGCAGACAUCCAGCAUUAAGAAAUCAUGGAAUGUUCUACAUGGAUGAAAAGUCUUUCAUCAUGCUGUCUAUAGGAAAAAUAGAUUGUGCUGAGAAUCUGAAGUUCUCAUCUCAUCUUCACAGGGCUGAUUUGAAGCCACCACCCAGCUGACCUCAGCUGCCAUCGGACAGCACUGUGGCACUGCAAUUUUUGUCGCUGCUGACUGGACUAGGCCCAUGUUCCUAAGGUCUGCUCUGCACAACUUCCCAGAAGCAAAAUUGAGGUACCCAUUCUUCAUUUUGUAAUAUUUGAGCUUGAAGUGAACUAGGAGAAGCUCUAAGGAUUGCAAUGAAUUAACAAUACAUUUGAAAGGUACAUCUUGCCAGUAUUCAUAGCAUCCAGAAUUACACAUUUUGCAACCUUCAUUUGCCUACAGACUAUCUAAGCUAGUGUUUUCAACACUAUUAUUUAUUUUUAAUAAUUUCCUUUUCACCUCUUCCAUAGUUCAACAGCAUUCUUAUACCCCUUGUUUUUCUGGACAGGCCUCCUUACCUGGGGCUUGGCAGUGCCAACAAGGCAUUUCACUGCCAAGAGAGAUAGCACCGUACUGGUUCCUUGAAAUAUUUGCCUUAUUCAAACACUUGCCAAUUCCUUUAGGUCACCCCGUAGCACUGCCAAGAGCCCAGCAGGCCAGCCCUUCUCUCUUGAGACCUGCCCAAAUGCCAACAGACAUGCUGGCCAAGGUGCUGUCCCUUGCCGUGGCCAGAAACAGCUUUGUAGCCAAGGCCAGGGAGCCAGGGUCCCCUUUCCCUCAGCAUCCCAGGGAUGGGAAAGGCCUGCAGAGGUUGAGCUUUACGUGGAACUUGCAUUCCUUCACCAAAUAGCAGCGAGCAGAGCAGGGGAAUGGGGAAGGUCAGCUUUGAGGCCCAGGCUGUGGAGAGGAGCAGAUCCUCAAAGGGCUGCGGUGCAUCAUAGAAUCAGCAAGGUUGGAAAAGACCUCCGAGCUCACCUAGUCACCUACAAGACCGCCUACCACCACUAUUUCCCCACUAAAACACGUCCCUCAGCGCCAAUCUAAACGUUUUUCGGACACCUCUACCUGCUGUUAAACCCCGCAGGUCUGCAGGAGAGGGGGCGGGCAUUCCGUCCCGGCACGGGAAAAAAAAAAAGAGAAAAUGGGGAAAAA